AUGUACCGCGCGGCCGCCAGCCUCGCCUCCAAGGCUCGGCAAGCCGGGAGCAGCGCUCGCCAGGUUGGAAGCAGGCUUGCCUGGAGCAGGAACUAUGCCGCCAAAGACAUCAGGUUUGGUGUCGAGGCCCGUGCCUCGAUGUUGAGGGGUGUCGAGGAGUUGGCAGAUGCGGUGAAAGUGACCAUGGGUCCUAAGGGUCGCACUGUGAUCAUUGAGCAGAGCUUUGGUGCCCCAAAAGUCACAAAGGAUGGUGUGACUGUUGCGAAGAGCAUUGAAUUUAAAGAUAGAGUCAAGAACGUUGGUGCAAGCCUUGUAAAACAGGUUGCUAAUGCAACAAAUGAUUCUGCUGGAGAUGGUACUACAUGUGCCACUGUUUUGACAAAAGCAAUAUUUACUGAGGGUUGCAAGUCUGUAGCCGCUGGAAUGAACGCAAUGGAUCUAAGGCGUGGAAUCUCAAUGGCGGUUGAUGAUGUUGUGACAAACCUAAAGGGCAUGGCUAGAAUGAUCAGCACUUCAAAGGAAAUAGCACAGGUGGGUACAAUAUCAGCAAAUGGCGAAAGGGAAAUUGGUGAGCUGAUUGCUAAGGCUAUGGAGAAGGUUGGAAAAGAAGGUGUAAUCACCAUUGCGGAUGGUAACACCCUUUAUAACGAGCUUGAAGUUGUGGAAGGCAUGAAGCUCGACAGGGGUUACAUCUCUCCUUACUUUAUUACCAACCAAAAGACCCAGAAAUGCGAAUUGGAAGACCCCUUGAUCUUGAUCCAUGACAAGAAGAUUUCGAACAUGCAUGCAGUAGUUAAAGUGUUAGAGAUGGCUCUGAAGAAGCAAAGGUCUCUACUGAUUGUUGCUGAAGAUCUAGAAAGCGAGGCAUUGGGCACUCUGAUUAUCAACAAGCUCCGUGCAGGCAUUAAGGUCUGUGCCGUUAAAGCUCCUGGUUUUGGGGAGAACAGGAAAGCAAAUUUACAGGACCUUGCUAUCCUUACUGGCGGAGAAGUCAUAACUGAAGAGCUUGGGAUGAACCUUGAGAACUUUGACCCGGAGAUGUUAGGUACAUGCAAAAAGGUGACUGUUUCUAAGGAUGACACUGUUAUUCUUGAUGGAGCUGGAGACAAGAAGAACAUUGAGGAGAGAGCAGAUCAGAUUAGAUCUGUAAUUGAGCAAAGUACUUCUGAUUAUGACAAGGAAAAGCUGCAAGAGAGGUUGGCAAAGCUUUCUGGAGGUGUUGCGGUUCUAAAGAUUGGAGGAGCAAGUGAAGCUGAAGUUAGUGAGAAGAAGGACAGAGUUACAGACGCACUUAAUGCCACUAAAGCUGCUGUUGAAGAGGGUAUCGUGCCAGGAGGUGGUGUUGCCCUUCUAUAUGCAUCAAAGGCUCUGGAUAAAUUGCAGACUGCAAACUUUGACCAGAAGAUCGGCGUGCAGAUCAUUCAGAAUGCUUUGAAGACACCAGUGUACACCAUCGCAUGUAAUGCAGGCGUAGAAGGGGCAGUUGUUGUUGGCAAGCUUUUGGAGCAAGAGAACACUGAUCUUGGAUAUGACGCAGCUAAAGGUGAAUAUGUGGACAUGGUGAAGGUUGGUAUCAUUGACCCACUGAAGGUGAUCAGAACUGCCUUGGUGGAUGCUGCUAGUGUGUCGUCUCUGAUGACCACAACGGAGGCCAUCAUCGUAGAGGUUCCUAAAGAGGAGAAAGAGGCACCUGCAAUGGGUGGCAUGGGUGGAAUGGACUACUAA
rnacentral:rRNA from 1 species